GACGAACGCUGGCGGCGUGCCUAAUACAUGCAAGUCGAGCGGAAGUUGAAGAGCUUGCUCUACAACUUUAGCGGCGGACGGGUGAGUAACACGUGGGCAACCUGCCCUGCAGAUCGGGAUAACUCCGGGAAACCGGUGCUAAUACCGAAUAGUUUUGGGUCCCUCCUGGGACCUAACGGAAAGACGGUUUCGGCUGUCACUGCAGGAUGGGCCCGCGGCGCAUUAGCUAGUUGGUGGGGUAACGGCCCACCAAGGCGACGAUGCGUAGCCGACCUGAGAGGGUGAUCGGCCACACUGGGACUGAGACACGGCCCAGACUCCUACGGGAGGCAGCAGUAGGGAAUCUUCCGCAAUGGACGCAAGUCUGACGGAGCAACGCCGCGUGAGUGAUGAAGGUUUUCGGAUCGUAAAACUCUGUUGCGAGGGAAGAAACCGUGCCAAUUAACUACUGGCACCUUGACGGUACCUCGCCAGAAAGCCACGGCUAACUACGUGCCAGCCGCCGCCGUAA
rnacentral:rRNA from 1 species